rnacentral:rRNA from 1 species
CAGCAGCCGCGGUAAUACCGGCGGCCCGAGUGGCGGUCACUAUUAUUGGGCUUAAAGCGUCCGUAGCCGGGGUGGGAAGUCCUCCGGGAAAUCUGGCCGCUUAACGGUCAGAAUGCCGGAGGAUACUCCCAGCCUAGGGAGCGGGAGAGGCCGAGGGGAUUCCCGGAGUAGGGGUGAAAUCCUAUAAUCCCGGGAGGACCACCUGUGGGGAAGGCGCUCGGCUGGAACGCGUCCGACGGUGAGGGACGAAGGCCAGGGGAGCAAACCGGAUUAGACACCCGGGUAGUCCUGGCUGUAAACGAUGCGGACUUUGUGUCGGACAAGCUAUGAGCUUGUCCGGUGCCGGAGGGAAACCGUUAAGUCCGCCGCCUGGGGAGUACGGCCGCAAGGCUGAAACUUAAAGGAAUUGGCGGG